AUCAUGAUUUAAAUCAGUUUGAUUUAAAUCAAAUCCACCCUGGUGUCUGUUCUUAUCAGUGCAAUAACUGAUAUGUUUUUUAUAUGAGGACUGAAUAUUAACUGGAUUUUUAGAGCUAGGAUGGGAAAUAAAAGCUUCCUUCAUUCACUCCAAGCAUCAACCUGGUAUUGCAGUGUCUCCAGGAAUGGUGUUUUUCCU